rnacentral:piRNA from 1 species
UGUACACAGCGAGAGGAGGGCAGA